UGGAUGUUGGUCUAGUUCUGUGUGGAAGACUAGUGAUUUUGUUGUUUUUAGAUAACUGAAUCGACAACAAAUCACAGUCUGCCAUAUGGCACAGGCCAUGCCUCUACAG
ensembl:miRNA MIR7 microRNA mir-7